UGCCUAACACAUGCAAGUCGAACGGGACUUGCCCCUUCGGGGACAAGUUUAGUGGCGGACGGGUGAGUAACGCGUGAGCAACCUGCCUUUCAGUGGGGGACAACAGUUGGAAACGACUGCUAAUACCGCAUAACACUUAUUAGGGGCAUCUCUGAUAAGUCAAAGAUUUAUUGCUGAAAGAUGGGCUCGCGUCUGAUUAGCUAGUUGGUGGGGUAAUGGCCCACCAAGGCGACGAUCAGUAGCCGGACUGAGAGGUUGAACGGCCACAUUGGGACUGAGAUACGGCCCAGACUCCUACGGGAGGCAGCAGUGGGGAAUAUUGGGCAAUGGGGGAAACCCUGACCCAGCAACGCCGCGUGAAGGAAGAAGGCCUUCGGGUUGUAAACUUCUUUUACCAGGGACGAAGGACGUGACGGUACCUGGAGAAAAAGCCACGGCUAACUACGUGCCAGCAGCCGCGGUAAUACGUAGGUGGCAAGCGUUGUCCGGAUUUACUGGGUGUAAAGGGCGUGUAGGCGGAGCUGCAAGUCAGAUGUGAAAUCUCUGGGCUCAACCCAGAAACUGCAUUUGAAACUGUAGCCCUUGAGUAUCGGAGAGGCAAGCGGAAUUCUUAGUGUAGCGGUGAAAUGCGUAGAUAUUAGGAGGAACACCAGUGGCGAAGGCGGCUUGCUGGACGACAACUG
rnacentral:rRNA from 1 species